rnacentral:lncRNA from 1 species
ACAACAUCCACCGUAUAUCACAUUAGGGUGAAGAACACGAUGCCUUGCCCACUUAAAAAAUUCACCAUUGCAUUUUUGGGUAUGUUGGAGUUACACAACGAAAUGCAACUGAAAAGAAGUACUGGGCAGAGCCCAAGACGGCACAUCGAGCCAUGAACAAAUUGGUGUUCUCUCUUCUUUGCUGAAUUACGGAACCUCAGGUGUUGGAAAGGACCUCUGGAGAUCAUCCAGUCUAACCCCCUGCUUCAGCAGGUUCCCUACAGCAGAUCACACAGCUAGGCAUCCAGGUAGUGAAUCAACAACCUUUCUCAAAGAGGAAAAAAGAAAACUAGCAUGUAUGGCUAGAAAGUGGCUAGAUGGUGUCACAGAACUCAAGAAUGAGAAAGUUCUGAGAAUACAACCUCACACUGCACCUCCUGGUGAAGAAUGAGACCAUCUUGUUUGAAGCAAUGUGCUGCAGUCAAAACUAUUCAGACCGCUUUCUUCUGCAAGAUGUACAUAUCACAUGCAGGAUUUAAGAACAUGUGGCACAAACAAGAGAUAUUUCAUGACCAUCGCAAACAGUCAC